rnacentral:rRNA from 1 species
UACGUAGGCCGCAAGCGUUGUUCGGAAUCAUUGGGCGUAAAGAGCUCGUAGGUGGUCUGUUACGUCUGCUGUGAAAUCCUAGGGCUUAACCCUGGGCCUGCAGUGGAUACGGGCAGACUAGAGGUAGGUAGGGGAGAAUGGAAUUCCCGGUGUAGCGGUGAAAGGCGCAGAUAUCGGGAGGAACACCGAUGGCGAAGGCAGAUCUCUGGGCCGUAACUGACGCUGAGGAGCGAAAGCAUGGGGAGCGAACAGG